rnacentral:rRNA from 1 species
CCUACGGGUGGCAGCAGUGGGGGAUAUUGCACAAUGGGGGAAACCCUGAUGCAGCGACGCCGCGUGUGGGAAGACGGUCUUCUGGAUUGUAAACCACUGUCCCCAGGGACGAAAAUGACGGUACCUGGGGAGAAAGCUCCGGCUAACUACGUGCCAGCAGCCGCGGUAAUACGUAGGGAGCAAGCGUUGUCCGGAAUUACUGGGUGUAAAGGGGGCGUAGGCGGGGAUGCAAGUUGGGUGUCAAAACUACCGGCUCAACCGAUAGUCGCACUCAAAACUGAAACUUUUGAGUGAAGUAGAGGCAGGCGGAAUUCCUAGUGUAGCGGUGAAAUGCGUAGAUAUUAGGAGGAACACCAGUGGCGAAGGCGGCCUGCUGGGCUUUUACUGACGCUGAGGCUCGAAAGUGUGGGAGCAAACAGGAUUAGAUACCCUUGUAGUC